AUUCCUUUAGUACAACUAGUAUAGUUAAUUUCCAAUUAACAGAUCCCAAAGGGAAGGAAUA
rnacentral:tRNA from 1 species